GACGGAGGAUGCAAGCGUUAUCCGGAAUUAUUGGGCGUAAAGCGUCCGCAGGUGGCACCUCAAGUCUGCUGUCAAAGACCGGGGCUUAACCCCAGAAAGGCAGUGGAAACUGAAGUGCCAGAGUGCAGUAGGGGUAGAGGGAAUUCCCGGUGUAGCGGUGAAAUGCGUAGAGAUCGGGAAGAACAUCGGUGGCGAAAGCGCUCUGCUGGACUGCAACUGACACUCAGGGACGAAAGCUAGGGGAGCGAAUGGG
rnacentral:rRNA from 1 species